rnacentral:rRNA from 1 species
UGAGGAAUUUUGGGCAAUGGGCGAAAGCCUGACCCAGCGACGCCGCGUGGAGGAUGAAGGCCUUCGGGUCGUAAACUCCUGUUCUGGGGGAAGAAGACGGGAUGCGUGAAGAAUUCAUCCCGCUGACGGUACCCCAGGAGAAAGCUCCGGCUAAUUACGUGCCAGCAGCCGCGGUAAUACGUAAGGAGCAAGCGUUGUCCGGAUUUACUGGGCGUAAAGAGCUCGUAGGCGGCCGAUCAGGUCUCGCGUAAAAUCCCCCGGCUCAAC